UACAGAGGGUGCGAGCGUUGAUCGGAGUUACUGGGCGUAAAGGGCGCGUAGGCGGUCGUGUGAGUGUGAUGUGAAAGCCCCCGGGCUUAACCUGGGAAGAGCAUCGCAAACGACACGACUGGAGUAGAUGAGAGGGUGGUGGAAUUUCCGGUGUAGCGGUGAAAUGCGUAGAGAUCGGAAGGAACGUCAAUGGCGAAGGCAGCCACCUGGCAUCAUACUGACGCUGAGGCGCGAAAGCGUGGGGAGCGAACAGG
rnacentral:rRNA from 1 species